rnacentral:rRNA from 1 species
UGCGAGUCNUUGUAGCAUACAAGGCAGACGGCUCAGUAACGNNNNNNNNNNNNNCCCUAUGGACGGGAAUAACCUCGGGAAACUGANANUANUGCCCGAUAGAACAUUAUGCCUGGAAUGGUUUAUGUUUCAAAUGAUUUAUCGCCGUAGGAUGGGACUGCGGCCUAUCAGUUUGUUGGUGAGGUAAUGGCCCACCAAGACUAUUACAGGUACGGGCUCUGAGAGGAGUAGCCCGGAGAUGGGUACUGAGACACGGACCCAGGCCCUAUGGGGCGCAGCAGGCGAGAAAACUUUGCAAUGUGCGAAAGCACGACAAGGUUAAUCCGAGUGGUUUCUGCUAAAGGAACCUUUUGUCAGUCCUAGAAACACUGAUGAAUAAGGGGUGGGCAAGUUCUGGUGUCAGCCGCCGCGGUAAAACCAGCACCUCAAGUGGUCAGGAUGAUUAUUGGGCCUAAAGCAUCCGUAGCCGGCUCUGUAAGUUUUCGGUUAAAUCUAUACGCUCAACGUAUAGGCUGCCGGGAAUACUGCANAGCUAGGGAGUGGGAGAGGUAGACGGUACUCGGUAGGAAGGGGUAAA